rnacentral:rRNA from 1 species
GUGCCAGCCGCCGCGGUAAUACAGAGGGGGCCAGCGUUAUUCGGAAUUAUUGGGCGUAAAGGGCGCGUAGGCGGCCCCGCGUGUCUUCCGUGAAAUCCCUCGGCUCAACUGAGGACGUGCGGAAGAAACUGCGGGGCUCGAGUCCGGGAGAGGGGGGUGGAAUUCCCAGUGUAGCGGUGAAAUGCGUAGAUAUUGGGAGGAACACCGGUGGCGAAGGCGGCCCCCUGGACCGGUACUGACGCUGAGGCGCGAAAGCGUGGGGAGCAAACGGGAUUAGAUACCCUAGUAGUCC